CGCGGGGUGGAGCAGCUUGGUAGCUCGUCGGGCUCAUAACCCGAAGGUCGUUGGUUCAAAUCCGGCCCCCGCAA
rfam:Mannheimia haemolytica M42548, complete genome.